UGGUGGAGUGAUUUGUCUGGUUGAUUCCGAUAACGAACGAGACGGGAAUAUCUUACUUUUCUCUUAAUAACUUGCGUUAUUAUGUUUUUAGAGUAUUCGAUAGACAACUUUUUCAAAAAGAGGAAGCGUCCCGCAAUAACA
rnacentral:rRNA from 1 species